GUCCUUCGCUUCCACAGAACAUCAGCCUACUGCUCAGGUCGUUGUCUUACUGCUUCAGCAAUGCCCUCAAAGCUGCGUACUCCUGAGGGGAUUCUGCACCAAAAAAUGAAAAAUGCUGUGCACAGUAUUGCAAAAUUCUGCAAAUAAAUGCAGAGGCUCCAGUGCAGGAAGGUGGAAGAUCACCCAGCAGCCUCCCCACCCGCCAUCUCGGGGACAAGGACUCUGGUCAGGCUGCACCUGACCGUGACACAGCACAAGGCCUGGGCCUGCCCCAGAAACACCCUGGGGCCCUGACCCUCUGCACCAGGCGCACUUGUAGGAGCAGGAUUUUAUAAUUGUACUAUAAGUCUAGAGAGACUGUCCAGUUUGACCAAUGUACAUGGCAGAGGGGCAUUGCUGGCACAUGAUGGCAUAUAUCACAUUGGUGGAUGUGCAGGUGAACGAGCCUCUGAUAGUGUGGCUGAUGUUAUUAGGCCCUGUGAUGGUGUCCCCUGAAUAGAUAUGUGAGCACAGUUGGCAAAAAGGGCAAAUUGACGACCCUGAGGUGAAGGCAGGUACCCCUAAAGACAAUUGAUUAAAUCAGAACCAGGACAGGAUAACCCUCUUGGGGGUGCAUUGGAAUGUUUACAUCAAACGAUACACCAAUUAAGAUGUAACCAGUCACACACUGACACAGCAAAAUCCAUAGACUUCAACAGAGAAAAAAGACUAUAAGAACAGGGUGCUUGACUAUGAGACUUUGGGUUCGUCUUGCUACAAUCCAGGAGCAUCGGAUCCCGACUGACAGAGCCCUGCUCCCCUCUGUGACCAAUCUGGCUGGCCACUAGAUUGAUCCAGACUCUGGACUGGUAACCAUAAACAUCAACUGGCAGGACUGUGUGCAUGGUGUGUGUGUGUGUGAGAUUGAAAAGCAUAUGCUAACUGUUGUAUUCUCAAUAAAUGCAGCGAGCUGCCUUCUUCCUUAUAAA